AAUGGGGGCAACCCUGAUCCAGCCAUGCCGCGUGAGUGAUGAAGGCCUUAGGGUCGUAAAGCUCUUUCGCCUGUGAUGAUAAUGACAGUAGCAGGUAAAGAAACCCCGGCUAACUCCGUGCCAGCAGCCGCGGUAAUACGGAGGGGGUUAGCGUUGUUCGGAAUUACUGGGCGUAAAGCGCGCGUAGGCGGAUUAGUCAGUUAGAGGUGAAAUCCCAGGGCUCAACCCUGGAACUGCCUUUAAUACUGCUAGUCUUGAGUUCGAGAGAGGUGAGUGGAAUUCCGAGUGUAGAGGUGAAAUUCGUAGAUAUUCGGAGGAACACCAGUGGCGAAGGCGGCUCACUGGCUCGAUACUGACGCUGAGGUGCGAAAGUGUGGGGAGCAAACAGGAUU
rnacentral:rRNA from 1 species